GGUGAUGUAACUCAGUUGGGAGAGUGCUUGCCUGGUAUGCAAGAAACUCUGAGUUUGAUCCCCAGCCCU
rnacentral:tRNA from 1 species